rnacentral:rRNA from 1 species
GACGAACCGUGCAAACGUUGUUCGGAUUCACUGGGCGUAAAGGGUGCGUAGGUGGUGAGGUAAGUCGGAUGUGAAAUCUCCAGGCUCAACCUGGAAACUGCAUUGGAAACUACCUUGCUGGAGGAUUUGAGGGGGGAUUGGAAUACUUGGUGUAGCAGUGAAAUGCGUAGAUAUCAAGUGGAACACCAGUGGCGAAGGCGAAUCCCUGGAAAAUACCUGACACUGAGGCACGAAAGCUAGGGGAGCAAACAGG